UACGUAGGGGGCUAGCGUUGUCCGGAAUCAUUGGGCGUAAAGAGCGUGUAGGCGGUCCGGUAAGUCCGCUGUGAAAGUCGGGGGGCUCAACCCUCGAAUGCCCGGUGGAUACUGUCGGGGCUAGGAGUGCGGAAGAGGCGAGUGGAAUUCCUGGGUGUAGCGGUGGGAAUGCGCAGAUAUCAGGAAGAACACCAACGGCGAAGGCAGCUCGCUAGGACGGUACUGACGCUGAGACGCGAAAGCGUGGG
rnacentral:rRNA from 1 species